rnacentral:tRNA from 1 species
GUCAGAAUGAUCGAAUUGGUAUAGAUAGCUCACUUAAAAUGAGCCGCCUUCGGGAUUGGUGGGUUCGAGUCCCCCUUCUGACA